GGUUAAGUCCCGCAACGAGCGCAACCCUUAUCCUUUGUUGCCAGCGGGUGAUGCCGGGAACUCAAAGGAGACUGCCGGUGAUAAACCGGAGGAAGGUGGGGAUGACGUCAAGUCAUCAUGGCCCUUACGGCCAGGGCUACACACGUGCUACAAUGGCGCAUACAAAGAGAAGCGACCUCGCGAGAGCAAGCGGACCUCAUAAAGUGCGUCGUAGUCCGGAUCGGAGUCUGCAACUCGACUCCGUGAAGUCGGAAUCGCUAGUAAUCGUAGA
rnacentral:rRNA from 1 species